AGCCUUAAGAAUUAUAUUUUAGGUUAUACCUGCCCAAUGUAUUAUAAGAUAUUAAUGGCCGCGGUACUUUGACCGUGCUAAGGUAGCGCAAUCAAUUGGCUUUUAAUUGUAGUCAAGAAUGAAUGGAGUUACGGGGUUUAGCUGUCUCCUAGUUAAUUUAUCGAAGUUACUAUUUAGGUGAAAAAGCCUAAAGUAUUAAAUAGGACGAGAAGACCCUUAGAGUUUGUCUUAUUUUGAAUUCAUUUCUCAAAUCAGUUUUGUUGGGGCAACAUAGGAUCAUUAAACAUCCUAAAAAAUAUUAGCCGAUAUUUAUAAGCUUGAAUAAACUACCUUAGGGAUAACAGCAUAAUUUUAUUAAUAAGUUUGUGACCUCGAUGUUGGACUAGGAAACUAAAAGGCUAGCCGCCUUUUUGAUGAGUUCUGUUCGAACUAUUACUCCU
rnacentral:rRNA from 1 species